rnacentral:tRNA from 1 species
GAAAUAUGUCUGAUAAAAGAGUUACUUUGAUAGAGUAAACCAUAGAGGAUAAAACCCUCUUAUUUCUA